GACGGGGGGGGCAAGUGUUCUUCGGAAUGACUGGGCGUAAAGGGCACGUAGGCGGUGAAUCGGGUUGAAAGUGAAAGUCGCCAAAAAGUGGCGGAAUGCUCUCGAAACCAAUUCACUUGAGUGAGACAGAGGAGAGUGGAAUUCCAGGUGUAGCGGUGAAAUGCGUAGAUAUCUGGAGGAACACCGGUGGCGAAGGCGGCAUCCUGGACCGACACUGACGCUGAGGAGCGAAGGCCAGGGGAGCAAACGGG
rnacentral:rRNA from 1 species